AGCCAAUGAUGACAGAGCUGUCU
rnacentral:miRNA from 10 species